AUGGAACAACCCCGCCGCCUUGGAGCUCGGCCCGUCCCCGGCCGGCCACCUCUCCGUCGGCCUCGUGCUCCUCCGCCUCGAUCCGUCCGCCCCACCGCCGGAUCCACGCCGGAGCAUCCGGAUCCGCCGCCCAGACCACCAACCAAGAGUCGCCUCUUGCCUAUCCUACGGCCGGGAGGAGGACGACCGAGAGGAGCGCCCAUUGAUCUGCCGCCUGGGCCGCCUUGGAGCACGCCCUGCCUCCGGCCCGCCACCUCCCCGUCAGCUUCGCGCUCCCCCGACAUGAUGAAUCGUUUUUUUUCCCAGAUUAGCCACUUUAAAAAGGACCGCGGGUUGAAUUCACAUACGCAGAGGGACUUUUUUGCAAAUCGCCAGCGACGACGUACGACCAGAAACCGUAGCUGCUUUAUUAUUAGGUAG
rnacentral:rRNA from 1 species